rnacentral:rRNA from 1 species
AUUGAACGCUGGCGGCAGGCCUAACACAUGCAAGUCGAGCGAGCGGCGGACGGGUGAGUAAUGUCUGUGAAACUGCCUGAUGGAGGGGGAUAACUCCUGGAAACGGUAGCUAAUACCGCAUAACAUCAGCAGUGCCCAGAUGGGAUUAGCUAGGAGGUGGGGUAACGGGUCACCUAGUCGACGAUCCCUAGCGGGUCUGGGAGGAUGAACAACCACAUUGGAACUGAGACACGGUCCAGACUCCUACGGGAGGCAGCAGUGGGGAAUAUUGCACAAUGGGCGCAAGCCUGAUGCAGCCAUGCCGCGUGUGGUAAUAAGGCCGUCGGGUUGUAAAGCACUUUCAGCGGGGCGGCGUUAACCGCAGAAGAAGCACCGGCUAACUCCGUGCCAGCCGCCGCGGUAAUAC